GAUGAACGCUGGCGGCGUGCCUAAUACAUGCAAGUCGAGCGAACAGACGAGGAGCUUGCUCCUCUGACGUUAGCGGCGGACGGGUGAGUAACACGUGGAUAACCUACCUAUAAGACUGGGAUAACUUCGGGAAACCGGAGCUAAUACCGGAUAAUAUAUUGAACCGCAUGGUUCAAUAGUGAAAGACGGUUUUGCUGUCACUUAUAGAUGGAUCCGCGCCUCAUUAGCUAGUUGGUAAGGUAACGGCUUACCAAGGCAACGAUGCGUAGCCGACCUGAGAGGGUGAUCCGCCACCCUGGAACUGAGACACGGUCCAGACUCCUACGGGAGGCAGCAGUGGGGAAUCUUCCGCAAUGGGCGAAAGCCUGACGGAGCAACGCCGCGUGAGUGAUGAAGGUCUUCGGAUCGUAGAACUCUGUUAUUAGGGAAGAACAAAUGUGUAAGUAACUAUGCACGUCUUGACGGUACCUAAUCAGAAAGCCACGGCUAACUACGUG
rnacentral:rRNA from 1 species